rnacentral:tRNA from 1 species
CGCUGUAGCUCAACGGCAGAGCAUCCGUCUUGUAAUCGGUUGAUCAGGGUUCGAGUCCCUGCGGC